GCGCGGUAGAACAGAUUGGGCAACCAAAACGUGCCUGGUAGCUUGCACCGUACGCCUGCGAUAAAGUGCUUCGAAAAUGAAGAUCCAAGUCUUCUUCGUCGUUGCCCUGUUGCUGUUCACCACAGUCGUUCAAGAUGCCGAGGCAGCAUUUGGAACAUUUCCAGGAGGGAGAAGAGAGCUGGAGAGAAAGUUUGAAGUAACAGCCAGGAGCCUUUGUGAGGCAGCCAGAAGCUUGGAUUGUGACGGAAUGAAGCUGAACGACUGACACAAGAAGAAGAUACAAAAAGCGGUAGUUCGUAGUUCCCAAGAACUACAAGAUAAAGAUAACUGCAGAGAAUUAGACGCUUGAAUAAUUGUUUGCCAGAUAAUUAAAACAUGGUGAACAUAUUGUGUAAAAUAAACGAAUAAAAUAAUAAACAAUAGUUGUUCGGCA